rnacentral:tRNA from 1 species
GACCCAGUAGCUCAGUUGGAUAGAGCGGCUGCCUCCUAAGCAGCAGGUCGUGCGUUCGAUUCGCGCCUGGGCCA